AUCAAAAUAUUCUUUUUAUCAUAAAUAUAGUAUCUGUUAGCAUAUCAAAAACACACAAGCUGUUAGGUAUCAACAUCUUGACAUGAUAUUCAAAAACAGAACACAAGCCACAUGUCAUGUGUUUACCAUUUUAUAUUCCAUCUUUUAAAAGUGAACAAGGAAACUGCUGCAGUUUAGCAUUACAUUAGCAUUGCAAGAUUAUGUGAAGGACAGCUUACACUUAUAUCUAAAUGUUAAUUAAACAAGGAAUUAUUUGAAUCUGGAAUAAUUUUGAAUUCUGGAAAAUUGACAGGAAAUUUAUGAUGAAAACUAACCCAAUUUAGUUAGUUCAUACAGAAAUAUCAGCGAAAGUAAAAUUAACCUUAGCCUUUAGUUGGGUUAGUUUUCAUCAUACAUUUCUUAUCAGUUUUCCAGAAUUCAAAAUUAUUUCAGAUUCAAAUAAUUCCUUGUUAUUUAAUAUAUUUUCAUUUUUAAAAAAGGUAAAAUUCCAAACUGAGAUAUCAGUAAAACAUUAUUUAUGGAUAAACAAAUCUCAAAUGUAUUAUGCAUACAUAUGGUUUUUAGCAAUUUCUGACAGAAUAAAACUUUAGCAUACAUAAAUAAUACUAUGUUUCAAGAGAAAAAAAAUUGAAGUUUUAGCAGUGAACAAUACUUAAAAGGAUAACCGGAAUUAUCAAAAUGCAUGCUUUGUUUAUAAAAAAGAUUCUGAAAUGAUCAACAUAGAAGUAAAUGGGUUUCUUAAAAAAGAUUCAUGAGGUUAAAUAUAUGUGAAAAUGUAUAUUCAUGGUUAAUAUGUGCAACAUAUAUUUAAUCAUAAUAUGAUUAAUUUCCUGGGAAUUCAAAAAAUUCUUUAAGGGAAUACUUUUCUUGUCAACUGAUGGAUAAAGAAUAUCUAUUUGUUAAAAAUUGUUUAUAUAUAUCUAUAAAUAGAAUGGUUGCUUUCUUGUGAAAUGACAUUAUUUGAAUUACCAAGUCAGGAAUAUGACAGUUGUUUUCCAUUCUUUGAAGUGUUUGAGCUUUUGAUUUUGCCAUUUGAUAAGGGACUUUCCUUUUUGAAUUUUCCUUGGAGUUUGGUAAUUUUGUUAUUUUACUUUUUACAUGUAUAGAAGAUGCAUAGACUAAAACACUGAAUUAUAUAACAGUAAAGUGAGUGACUCUUUCCGAAAUAUAGGUCAAGCUUGUGACACUUUCCUUAAUAUAAGUAAAGAUUGUGACACAGCCAUAAAUAAAGAUCAAAUAUAGGAUACUUCCCCGCUAGAUAAAGACCAACACAUGUGACAUAAAAAUGGAUAAAGAUCAAACAUGCGACACUGAUCUGGACAAAGAUCAAACAUGUGACACUGAUCUGGACAAAGAUCAUACAUGUGACACUGUUUUGUAAGAUCAAAUAUGUGACAAUGCUCUGGUUAAAUGACAAGCAUGUGACACUACCCUGGAUAACAGUUCAAUGACACUAUCCAGGAUAUAGGUCAAGCAUGUGAUAUUGCCAUGGACAAAUUUCAACAUAUGACACUGCCCUGGAUAUUGGUCAAACAUGCAACACUGCCCUGCAUAUAGGUCUAACAUGUUACACUGCCCUGGAAAAAGGUUUCAAUAUGACUAUCCUGGAUGCAAGCUAAUGAUACUGAACUGGAUUAAGGUCAAGCAUGUUGUCGGGGAUAAAAAUCAAGCAUGAGACUCUGCAAUGGAUAAAGGUAAGGCAUCUGACAAUUACAUUGAUGAAGGUCAAGCAUAUGAUAUACACUGCCCAAAUAUGUAUAGAUAAUUUACAAUUACAAAAUUUGCCUUGCUCCUUAUGAUGGCACUAUAAAUCUAAGAUAGCCAUAACAAUGGCUACAGAAAUUUACCUCAAGAAGUUGAUUAUCAUAGUCUUAAAAAAAAGAAGAGAAUUUUACCUUGAUGCCAAUGAGAUUAUUUAUAUAGGUCAUUUUUGAGUACAUUUGAUGUUAUUGGAGCUGAACCUAGUUACAUAAUUAUAUAAGAGAAAAAGACUCAAUUCUAAAAAGAAAAAGCCUUCAUGAAGGACAGAUUAUAAUCUCCUUUGUUGAAAGACUCGCUGUGUCCAUGAGUCAACACAUUAUGUUACUUACGUUUAGACCAUUUAGUUUUCUAGCAGAAAUUAUCAAAUAAUAAACUUAAUCUCAGUAAGGGAGGUUUAAAUGUCUUGGUUUAAACUAAAGCUUAAUCUCAGUCCGGGAGGUUUAAAUGUCUUGGUAUAAACUUACGCUUAAUCUCAGUCAGGGAGGUUUAAAUGUCUUGGUAUAAACUAACGCUUAAUCUCAGUCAGGGAUGUUUAAAUGUCUUGGUAUAAACUAACGCUUAAUCUCAGUCGGGGAGGUUUAAAUGUCUUGGUAUAAACUAAAGCUAAAUCUCAGUCAGGGAUGUUUAAAUGUCUUGGUAUAAACUAAAGCUUGAUCUCAGUCUGGUAAGUUUAAAUGUCUUGGUAUAAACUAAAGCUAAAUCUCAGUCAGGGAUGUUUAAAUGUCUUGGUAUAAACUAAAGCUUAAUCUCAGUCAGGGAGGUUUAAAUGUCUUGGUAUAAACUAAAGCUUAAUCUCAGUCAGGGAGGUUUAAAUGUCUUGGUAUAAACUAACGCUUAAUCUCAGUCAGGGAGGUUUAAAUGUCUUGGUAUAAACUAAAGCUUAAUCUCAGUCAGGGAGGUUUAAAUGUCUUGGUAUAAACUAAAGCUUAAUCUCAGUCAGGGAGGUUUAAAUGUCUUGGUAUAAACUAAAGCUUAAUCUCAGUCAGGGAGGUUUAAAUGUCUUGGUAUAAACUAACGCUUAAUCUCAGUCAGGGAGGUUUAAAUGUCUUGGUAUAAACUAACGCUUAAUCUCAGUCAGGGAGGUUUCAAUGUCUUGGUAUAAACUAAAGCUAAAUCUCAGUCAGGGAUGUUUAAAUGUCUUGGUAUAAACUAAAGCUUAAUCUCAGUCAGGGAAGUUUAAAUGUCUUGGUAUAAACUAAAGCUUAAUCUCAGUCAGGGAAGUUUAAAUGUCUUGGUAUAAACUAAAGCUUAAUCUCAGUCAGGGAAGUUUAAAUGUCUUGGUAUAAACUAAAGUUUAAUCUCAGUCAGGGAGGUUUAAAUGUCUUGGUAUAAACUAAAGCUUAAUCUCAGUCAGGGAUGUUUAAAUGUCUUGGUAUAAACUAACGCUUAAUCUCAGUCAGGGAGGUUUCAAUGUCUUGGUAUAAACUAAAGCUUAAUCUCAGUCAGGGAGGUUUAAAUGUCUUGGUAUAAACUAAAGCUUAAUCUCAGUCAGGGAAGUUUAAAUGUCUUGGUAUAAACUAAAGUUUAAUCUCAGUCAGGGAGGUUUAAAUGUCUUGGUAUAAACUAAAGCUUAAUCUCAGUCAGGGAUGUUUAAAUGUCUUGGUAUAAACUAAAGCUUAAUCUCAGUCAGGAGGUUUAAAUGUCUUGGUAUAAACUAAAGCUUAAUCUCAGUCAGGGAGGUUUAAAUGUAGGCCAGUGAUGACUAUUAUAUAUGAAUCCUUAACAUAAGGUAAUUUUCAUGCAUCUGUGAAUUUAAAAUUAACUAUUAGCUUGAAAUGUCAGAGUUAUCCAAUGUAUUUGGAGGUUGAAUAAAUACGUGAACCAUGAAUAUGACAAGUGACAUUAACCUUCUUAAAUAUCAUCAGACUAUCAAAGAUUGAUAUGCACAUUAUUUAUAUGGCUGUAUAUAUUAAACAGUUUCAUGCAUGUGAACACAGAUGAGAAUGACAAAGUAACUCUAUCUGUCCUUCUAAACUUUGACGAGGCAGGGAAUAAUGGUUUGCCAUCAUCCAAAUUGUUGGGACUAGUGUUCUAUUUUCAGGAUCUUAUAUUUUUGGAUAAAUACAUAUAUCAUUACCUUCCUCUUCUACAACUAAAUCACAGAUAGCAUGAAAUUAAAUAUUUUAAAAAUUAGCAUUUCUUUACACAUCAGCAUAAAUAUUUUAGGCAUAAUGAAACAUUGAAAAUCAAAGUUUUUCUUUCAUUAAAAAAUAAAAAUUUUCUGAAAUAUCUUUUACAAUUUUGAGUAUUAUAAUUUUUCUUUUAAGACGUUAGUAUACAUGAAAUAAAUAUAAAUAUUCUGUAUUUUUCUUAAGGGCUAUUCCAUUAAAAUGUAUGUGGGAGGGUAGGAAGGGACUUUCAAAAUAUCCCUACAACCAAAACCAUUUUUUAGAUAAUUUUGCAUAAUGGUAAUAGACGCAUACUGAAAAAAGACCCAUGACCCACAUUCAAUAAUUAAACUUUCCUUCCUACCCUCCCACAUACAUUUUAAUGGAAUAGCCCUUAAAACUUUGUUGAAGAUAGAACAUUGUUUUUCAUAAAAAAUAACAUAUCAUCAAUCUUAAGAUACUAUCAAACAACCUUUGUUUUAUCCCUUCUGAUUCUGAAGUGUUAGGAAUGAUAAGAUACAAGAAGCUGAAAUGUAUGUGCCUAUAAGCUUUUUUUUUCUGUUAUGCAAUCAUAUAACUUUGACCUUUUACCCCUGACCUGGGUCUAGUUAUCUUUUCCUCAAGCAGAAGCAAUGCAUCAAUUUCAUUGAAGAUAAGACACAUACAUAAUCCAGAUUUCAAAUAUUUUCCAUUUUUAUUUUGACAGAAUUUGUAAACUAAUAAAAAUAAAUAACAUGCAUGAAAUACUUCACAGUUUCUACAAAAGACACAGUGAGAAUGUCCUCCACUGGGAUCACUGAAUUUUAUAUGUCAGCAAAAUAUAGACCAGAAAUGCUAAGAUGAUUUUCAUAAACAUAGAAGACACUCGAAACAAAAAUUUAUAAACAGUAAAAUCAUUGUAACUUAAGAAAUAAAGAACAUCAAAAUAGAUAACAUGCUAAACGGUACAACAUAUAUAUAAUAUCAAAUGUACGUUACCAAUGAAUUCUACAGGAUGAAAAAUAUAUUAUUGUCCUAUCACUCCUCUUACAAACAAUAAGAAAGAGAAAAUUUGUUCAAAUGACAGAGAUAAUUACCCCCAAAUUCCUUCCUCAAUACAGGUAAAAGCCACAAAAAAUUGGGUCAAAUUAUCUUUACCAUCAAGGAAUACAAUUAUAACUCUUUCUUACAAUUAAACUGAACAGGGGCUAAUGAGCUUAAAACCCACAAUCAAAGUCUAUGUAUUAUAACUCUUUCUUACAAUUAAACUGAACAGGGGCUAAUGAGCUUAAAACCCACAAUCAAAGUCUAUGUAUUAUAUUAAAUAACUAGGUUUAUCACAGAUACAUUUCCAAGGAUGGAGCUAAUAAAAUAAUUAUCUAAACUGUUUGUACCUCUCUGCAGUACAGCUUAAUUUUACUGCCAACAAAUUCAAACUUUAUUAUAGUCUUUCAAAAUUAAUUUCAUUAAGAAUCCUUUUUCAAAUUUCUCAAAUACAAUCUCAUGAUUUAAGGUUGGCACUAAAAAUGAAGAAUGGUGCUGGAGAUCCAAGGGUGGGACUAAAAAUUCAAAGUUGGAGUAGCUUCACCCAUAAAGAGGCUGUGGUGAUCCCCGAAUGGUAUAUUGAUCAAGUUACAAUCUUCCUCAUGUAAAUCUAACAAAUAAUCAAUACAUAUCAUUUAAAACAUUAAUUAAUCAACAAUUUAAAAAGUAGCUAAU